CCAAACCUAAUUUGGACUGAUCCGCAAAGCCCAGGCCCAAUCCAAAAUAGAAUAAAUCUACUAGAAUCUAUACUUUACAUAAGUCUUUGCUUCCUACUUCUUUUCUUCUUCGUCGGUCCAAUUUGUUUACAGAUUCUGAAAAACUUCUCUUGCACUGCACUCCACCUUUAUCCUUCAAUGGUGUUUACCUAUAUAAACACCUCAAUUCCCUCAAUAUCAGCAUAAAUCUCUUAGAUUAUUGCUGUAGAUACAUAAAUUAUCAAAUUACAAGUGUUUAAUCAGCAAAGAUGAUGAUCAGAAUCAGAAGCAGGGAUGGGUUAGAACGAGUCACCAUUGACAAUCCACACGCCACAAUUUCCCAACUCAAAUCUCAAAUCGAGUCCCAGCUUCGAGUUCCGGUUCAAUCCCAAACCCUAUCUACAAAUCAGAACCUCUUACUCGCCAAAACCCUUGACGAUUGGACCAGGUUCACCGAUAUGUCAAACCCUAAUACACCAAUCUCCUCUCUCAACUUAACCCACGGCUCGAUGGUGUACCUCGCGUACGAGGGCGAGCGGACCGUCGCCGGUCCGGCUGUCAACCCCGCCGGUUCGUUCGGUAAAAAAAUGACUAUGCUGGGCUUCUUGGCAAGUUGGAGUUGAAGUCCUCCCCUCCAACUUGAGGGGGGUGUUGAGAUUAUUUAUUUUCUCAUAUUCUUUGUAUUCAUUUUUUAUAUUCCUUAAGUGUAUUCAUACAUGUAUUGUAUAGAACUAUAAAUCAAAACAAAUGCGAGUUACAAGACAAGAAAACCCUCACUGUGAGCUGGUUUCGUUCGAUCGCGACGCAGCCAAUGCGUUUCAGCAUUAUGUGAACGAAACCCUAGCGUUUGCCGUGAAACGCGGCGGGCUUAUGUACGGCACAGUGUCCCCUGAGGGGAAAGUGGAGGUUGAUUUCAUCUACGAGCCGCCACAGCAAGGGACGGAGGAAAGUUUGAUACUUUUACGCGAUCCUGAUGAGGAGAAAGUAGUGGAUGCGUUAGCUAUUGGAUUAGGGAUGAGGAAAGUAGGGUUUAUAUUUACACAGACAAUUAGUCAGGAUAAAAAGGAUUACACAAUGUCGACUGCGGAAGUUUUGCAGGCGGCUGAGUUACAUGCUGAGGGUGAUUUGAAGGAGUGGGUGACGGCUAUAGUGAAGCUCGAGGUGAAUGAGGAUGGCGCUGCGGAUGUACAUUUCGAGGCGUUUCAGAUGAGUGAUAUGUGUGUGAGGUUGUUUAAGGAAGGGUGGUUUGUGACAGAGGUUAAUAAGGAUGAGAUGAUUGAUCCAAAGCUUUCUAAGAUGAAGAAAGAUGUGGUGGUUGGAGUAAAGGACACUAGAGAAGUUGAUAACGACUUUUUCUUGGUCGUUGUCAAGAUUGCUGAUCAUCAGGUACGUUGGUUUUAUUGCAUAUUUUUUCUAUGUAUGGAGUUAUUCUCUGUGAAUUGUUUACUUAUUGUCUUGAUUAGUUGUUUGGAUUUGAUUAUGAGAAUCAUGUUUGUUUCCUUCCCUUAUAUUGCAUAAAAUGAGUAACUUUGUAUUAUACUACGAGGAGGAAAAAGAAGGCAGUAGUGACAUACAGAUUGGGUAAAAGAAUUACUACAUUGGUAAGGGAUAGUGGUGACACUUCUAAUUAUGGUGUUAAAAGGUGCCUUUUUUAUUGGUUGGAAUUGCUGAAGAUGGCAAGACCUUCCUAUAACAUGUGUCAAAUACAUGUUUAUUUCAAGCAACUGUAUGCUUUAGAUGGUUUUUAUAGCCAAUAGGUCAUUGGUCAAACCCCUAAAUAGAGAUCUGAUGCCAUAUGCCUUUGCCCUACAUUUAGAGCCUGUAAGAGGGUGUGGAUGGUAGAACCUGCUACCUAGUAGUGUAGCUUGCGAAUAUCUUUAAAAAGUAGGUAUCUCUCCGAUGGCUAAAGUUACUCCCUUUUAAAGAAUUUCUGGGCAAUUUAAUUUUCUUUCAGUAGGUGAUGCAGCAUGUUUCAUCAUAUAUUAUUCUCUUAUUUGCACUUUCAGCUUGUCAUCUUUCUGUUAGCUGUAUUUGUUUGGUAGGAGAGCUCUGCUUUGUUUUCUUUUUCCUUUUUUCCACUUUUUGAGCGUAAUGUGAAGCAUGAUAUUCGCAGACAUGAACUCAUUUAACUAUAAUAAUUUUUUUAAUGCCAAAGGAACAUUUCUAGGGAUUGGUUCAAGUUUGAAAAUAGGGCUUUACCUAGCCUGAGGUCAUUGGACUGCCUGAAUAUUUAUGCUCGAGCGUGUUGACCUAUAAAUUUUUAGGCUACAGCUUUGACUCCAUUAGAAAAUUACCAGGCUUGAGCAUCAGCCCAUCUCCUCUUUUGCAAAAGUAUUAUUGUUACAUUUAACUCAUAUGUUUUGUUAAUUCUCUUUCCACCAAAAAUGGAAGGAAAAAAAAUGCCAAUAUGUUCCUAUGUGUGCCAACAACAACCCAGUAUAAUCCCACUUAGUGGGGUCUGGGUAGGGUAGUGUGUACGCAGACCUAAAGAAAGUAACAAUUACCACAAGAUAUACAACAACAACAACAACAACCGAGUAUAAUCCCACUUAGUAGGGUCUGGGAAGAAUAGUGUGUACGCAGACCUUACCCCUACCCUUGGGUAGAGAGGGUAGAGAGGCUGUUUCCAAAUAGACAUCUGGCAUCCUUCCCUCCAAGAACUUCCCACCUUGCUCUCGGAGAGACUCGAACUCACAACCUCUCGGUUGGAAGUGGGGGUUGCUUACCAUCAGAGCAACCCCUCUUGUCUUAAUAGAAGGAAAGAAAUGAAUAGAAGGAAAGAAGGAAAGAAUACAACACUAAGAAUGCCUGCAAUUUUUUCUCCGUCCAUGUCAGCUUUUGGCAGUAUUAAUUGAAUUUUUAUUAAUAUUAGAAUGCACGGAACAAUGUCUUUGAAUCUUUCCAUUAGCGAUUUUCUUUACUUUUUUUCUUCAUUUAGUUUUCCUCCACUAGUUGUAUCCCCUCUCACUUGAUGUGAAUCACGUGAUAAAUAAGAUGGUUGAGGAAUUGAUGUUACCCAUAAUGCAGUGCAAGCUGUUGUUGGUACCGAUUUUGGUCCUGACAGGUUGGAUAUAUUUUCAAGUGAGAGGUGCUUAGCAAAAUUACUUUAUUUGAUCACAAAAAGGUCUCUUUUUUCGGAAAAACAAGAACAUAUUAAUGAUGCAUGAAGAUUUCAUUCAUGAAGGUAUUGUUAUCAAAUCCAGUGUUCCCAAUCUUUUGAAUUUGAUAUAUAUUUCGGAACUAAAGUUUUUGCUUUAGCGAAGUGCACAGCAAAUUUGGUUUUUCCUGUGCCUGCCUAGUACCUAGGACACCUUGGCAAGGGGCUUCCAAUAAGGUUUUGGACAGAGAAUACAUUAUAGUAAACUCAGUUUUAAGUGUGCUAGUAUGUUUUCCACAUGAAACUUGCAAAUCUUAAAUGUUUUCCAAUGUAAUUCAAAAUAUUCCAAAAUCUCUUCCUCUGGUUGCUCAGAUUACCUCUUGUUAAGUGCUGCACCAGUCAUUUGGUUUUGGCGGAAUUUGAGUGUCUUUUGCUGGAUGAUCCUCAGAUGCCGUUAGGCUAUAGUUAGGAAAAUAAUCACUUUGCAUUAUCAUCUGACAUGGUGAUUUACGAUAAGAUGCAAUAGCUAGUGAAGGCAACACUAUGCUCCUAAUUUAGUAAAAUGUGUUUAGAAUCAUGUGGUAGUUGUCUCUGCUCUUAGAUUAAGCAUCAAAUCAAGUUACUUUCUGAUUAGGUAGUAAGAAGACGUGGUGCUAGGUGGUGUUAACUGUUAUGAUUUCUGUCUUGAAGCCAAAAGAGAGAAAACUCCCGUAUGUGGAAGAAGACGUGGUGCUAGGUGGUGUUAUGAUUUCUGUCUUGAAGCCAAAAGAGAGAAAACUCUACUAUGUGACAUCCAAAUUUGACGAUUGACCUAUAAGCCUACAUCAUUCCCAAUUACUAUUGGCAGCUUUACCAGAUUUCAAAGUGCAGAACUUCGUGGUAGUUCUAAGUUUUGAUAUUAUAUUAGAGUGAGACUGAAGCUACAAUUGGCUAUAAUUCUACCACAGUGGUUUGACCGAUGAAAAAUCGAGUCUCCAGAGAGGUGAAAGAGAUGCAAAAAGUGAUGUCUUUGACAGUUCCACUCAGAUACCUUCUUUCAUGUACUUUUGUGUACCAUCUUGGUACUUAUUUAAUAAAAUCUUUACCUUAUCAAAAAAACCAAAAAACAAAAAAAGGUUCCACUCAGAUACCUGUUAUUUUGUCAAUUUUCUUUUCAUUUCCUUUUCAAAUGCUUAGAGUUUCCUUCGACCCCCUUCUCCCGUUGCCUUCUGUUCUCCUUUGCUAUCAUACUAGUGAUAGUAUUUACUUUGAACAUCUACUCUUGUAUGCCCCCGUCUCAUGUGAAUUCUUAUGAUUGUGCAGGGUCCUCUAUCAUCAUCUUUUCCUAUUGAAAACAGGAAUAUUCCAGUGAGCAUGAGAGCAUUAAAAGAUCAUUUCAAUCGAACAAAGAAUCUUUCUUUUGUGAAGCGAAUCUCGGAUUUUCAUUUACUACUGCUGCUGGCCAAAUUUUUGGACAUCAAUGCAGAUGUUCCAGCGUUGGCGGAAUGUGUGCAUACCCUCUGAAAAACUUCUCUUGCACUGCACUCCACCUUUAUCCUUCAAUGGUGUUUACCUAUAUAAACACCUCAAUUCCCUCAAUAUCAGCAUAAAUCUCUUAGAUUCCAGACAGCUGUUCCAGAAGGUUACCAGCUCCUUAUAGAAUCCAUGGCUAGUGCCUCUUGAGCGGGCAUUGCCACUUGACUAAACCAACACUGCUCAUGUAUUGCAACAAGAGAACAUCCCAGUGACAUUCAGUUCAUGUUCUGGUGAGACCUCAGUGCCCGAGUCCUAAUGCUUACGUUCCUGGUGUGUGGUAAACAUGUUUGCAGUGCUGAAAUCCUCUUGUUAUAUUGACCACCAAUGUGUUUGAAUACUUUGGUUAAAUUAUACGUACUUGCUCUAGUACAACUUGUUGGAGUUAAAUUCGUGGGUUAUGGUUGUUUGCCCUUGUACUGGGAUGGCUCUCUGGUAGAGCAGACUUCGUUGACCUAGACCCCAUAGUGUGAUUGCAUGUUUUAGUAUCUGCGGGGAAAAUUCCUUCAUCUUUUAUAUUAUCUUUUUAUCAUAAAGGUUCUAAAACUCUGGUUGAAAAAACCAUUUAUAAUGCCAAUUGGGGUCAUUUACUUUUCCCGAAAAUCAUAAUGAAGCACCAUGUUAUAGCAUUACUAUGGAAAUCACAAAACAAACUGCAGUAGUAUGGUCUAAUUUCAUUCAAAAAUGAAACUAGAACUAUAUAGUGAAUCAAAUAACAGUAUCAUCUCUUUUAGUAUGCACAUAAU
rnacentral:lncRNA from 1 species